UUAAUUAAAGCCAAAAAGAGGCCUAUCAUUGUUAAUGAUAUCAUUGAAAUAUAAAUAUUUCUAAUUAAA
rnacentral:tRNA from 1 species